rnacentral:tRNA from 1 species
GCCCCGGUAGCUCAGCGGAUAGAGCAACUGACUUCUAAUCUGUGUGUCGCCGGUUCGAUUCCGGCUCGGGGCA